GACUGGCUCAGUAAACAUAUCGCGAAAGACACUCAGACUUUUUGUGUUAGAUGAAACAAAAUAUCAGUAGAAAACUGCACUUUA